rnacentral:pre_miRNA from 1 species
UCCCAGCGCAGCCAUGAGUUUUCAUGUCUAAUUUCUAUUGUCCAUCUUAUUUAAUUUUUUUAUCAUUAAUAUUUUUAUUGUUAUUAGAUGAUAAAACGUACACGUGACUUAUGUUUUUAAAUUUUUUUCAAAAUUUUUUUAAAUAAGAUAGAUAUAAUUAAAGGUUGGAUCCAAAAAUUUAAGACUAUACUUAAA